rnacentral:rRNA from 1 species
AUUGAACGCUGGCGGCAGGCCUAACACAUGCAAGUCGAACGGAGUGGCGGACGGGUGAGUAAUGUAUGGGAAACUGCCUGGUGGAGGGGGAUAACUACUGGAAACGGUAGCUAAUACCGCAUACUAUCAGAUGAGCCUAGGUCGGAUUAGCUAGUUGGUGGGGUAAAGGCCUACCAAGGCGACGAUCCGUAACUGGUCUGAGAGGAUGAUCAGUCACACGGGAACUGAGACACGGUCCAGCCUCCUACGGGAGGCAGCAGUGGGGAAUAUUGGACAAUGGGCGAAAGCCUGAUCCAGCCAUGCCGCGUGUGUGAAGAAGGUCUUCGGAUUGUAAAGCACUUUAGGUUGAGAGGCGUUACCAACAGAAUAAGCACCGGCUAACUUCGUGCCAGCAGCCGCGGUAAUAC